rnacentral:rRNA from 1 species
AGUGAACGCUGGCGGUAGGCCUAACACAUGCAAGUCGAACGGCAGCACAGUAAGAGCUUGCUCUUACGGGUGGCGAGUGGCGGACGGGUGAGGAAUACAUCGGAAUCUACUUUUACGUGGGGGAUAACGUAGGGAAACUUACGCUAAUACCGCAUACGACCUACGGGUGAAAGCAGGGGAUCUUCGGACCUUGCGCGAUUGAAUGAGACGAUGUCGGAUUAGCUAGUUGGCGGGGUAAAGGCCCACCAAGGCGACGAUCCGUAGCUGGUCUGAGAGGAUGAUCGGCCACACUGGAACUGAGACACGGUCCAGACUCCUACGGGAGGCAGCAGUAGGGAAUAUUGGGCAAUGGGCGCAAGCCUGAUCCAGCCAUACCGCGUGAGUGAAGAAGGCCUUCGGGUUGUAAAGCCCUUUUGUUGGGAAAGAAAAGCAGCAUAUUAAUACCCCGCUGUUCUGACGGUACCCAAAGAAUAAGCACCGGCUAACUUCGUG